GACGAACGCUGGCGGCGUGCUUAACACAUGCAAGUCGAACGGAAAGGCCCUGCUUUUGUGGGGUGCUCGAGUGGCGAACGGGUGAGUAACACGUGAGUAACCUGCCCUUGACUUUGGGAUAACUUCAGGAAACUGGGGCUAAUACCGGCUAGGAGCUCCUGCUGCAUGGGGGGGGUUGGAAAGUUUCGGCGGUUGGGGAUGGACUCGCGGCUUAUCAGCUUGUUGGUGGGGUAGUGGCUUACCAAGGCUUUGACGGGUAGCCGGCCUGAGAGGGUGACCGGCCACAUUGGGACUGAGAUACGGCCCAGACUCCUACGGGAGGCAGCAGUGGGGAAUAUUGCACAAUGGGCGGAAGCCUGAUGCAGCAACGCCGCGUGCGGGAUGACGGCCUUCGGGUUGUAAACCGCUUUCGCCUGUGACGAAGCGUGAGUGACGGUAAUGGGUAAAGAAGCACCGGCUAACUACGUG
rnacentral:rRNA from 1 species